rnacentral:rRNA from 1 species
UGGGGAAUUUUGCACAAUGGGGGCAACCCUGAUGCAGCGACGCCGCGUGAUUUAGAAGGCCUUCGGGUUGUAAAAAUCUUUUGUAUAGGAAGAAAAUGACAGUACUAUACGAAUAAGGUCCGGCUAAUUACGUGCCAGCAGCCGCGGUAAUACGUAAGGACCGAGCGUUGUCCGGAAUCAUCGGGCGUAAAGGGUACGUAGGCGGUUAAAAAAGUUAGAAGUGAAAGGCUAUAGCUCAACUAUAGUAAGCUUUUAAAACUGUUUAACUUGAGAGGUGGAAGGGAAAGUGGAAUUCCUAGUGUAGCGGUGAAAUGCGCAGAUAUUAGGAGGAAUACCGGUGGCGAAGGCGACUUUCUGGCCAUUAUCUGACGCUGAGGUACGAAAGCGUGGGUAGCAAACAGG